GAUGAACGCUGGCGGCGUGCCUAAUACAUGCAAGUCGAGCAAACAGAUAAGGAGCUUGCUCCUUUGACGUUAGCGGCGGACGGGUGAGUAACACGUGGGUAACCUACCUAUAAGACUGGAAUAACUCCGGGAAACCGGGGCUAAUGCCGGAUAACAUUUAGAACCGCAUGGUUCUAAAGUGAAAGAUGGUUUUGCUAUCACUUAUAGAUGGACCCGCGCCGUAUUAGCUAGUUGGUAAGGUAACGGCUUACCAAGGCAACGAUACGUAGCCGACCUGAGAGGGUGAUCGGCCACACUGGAACUGAGACACGGUCCAGACUCCUACGGGAGGCAGCAGUAGGGAAUCUUCCGCAAUGGGCGAAAGCCUGACGGAGCAACGCCGCGUGAGUGAUGAAGGCCUUCGGAUCGUAAAACUCUGUUAUUAGGGAAGAACAAAUGUGUAAGUAACUGUGCACGUCUUGACGGUACCUAAUCAGAAAGCCACGGCUAACUACGUG
rnacentral:rRNA from 1 species